CGCAUCUAGUACUAGCUUGUCCCUGUUCCGGUUCUAAAGUAAGGGUAGUGGUCCGAGUGAUAGUAAUAAUCCCGGGUGGAAUCAGUAAUCCUACUAACUCAGAGAAGGUAGUCAAGAAAGAGUACUAUAGCAAGAAAGAAUCAUUUCAUUGGAAGCCCUUAUAUGAAGUUGGAGACGAACAGAGUGAUAGUUGCCAUUGCUCUAAUAAGAAUGACACUAAAGCAGCGAGCGGUAGGGGUGAGAGACUUGCCAUGUGCUCGGUUGCAAGAUCAGGAUCCGAGGCAGGAGCAGCUAAAUCCCAGUCAUUCUAUACGGACCGUGACCGAUUCCAAUUAAGAAAUCAGUCAUAUCAGUCAUAUCAGUCAUAGCUAAGGUUUACAAAGCCAGUUAGUCGUGACCGGCCAAGACACUCAGCCAAGUUCACAGAAGUGGGCGGGAAGUUCUGUGAAAAAGAUCCAUCCACUUUCAUUCUGACUUGUUUCUCGCUUACCCUAUAGCUUAACUCGCACAAAAAGAGUAGGAGCACCCCUGCCAAGUCGGCAAGCUGCCUAAUAAGUAAGGGUUCGUAGAACCUCUGAUCUGUAUUUGGAUCCUGCAGCACCCGAUAGAGAGUCGCCUAUACUCACUAAGCUCACGUAGCGGUAAAGAACAGG
rnacentral:lncRNA from 1 species